rnacentral:rRNA from 1 species
UGGUGGAGUGAUUUGUCUGGUUAAUUCCGUUAACGAACGAGACCUCGACCUGCUAAAUAGUCUUUUCAACUCUUCGGGGUUGGACCAUGACUUCUUAGAGGGACUAUCGAUGUCUAGCCGAUGGAAGUUCGAGGCAAUAACA